UGCUACCCUGCCUUGGAGCCAGCUAACUGUGGACUGAAGUCUCUACGAACUAAUUCAUUCUUCAAAUUUAGAGAGAUGCCCUACCUAGGUCCUGAGUCGCACAGAACACGCCGAAUCAGCACGCUGCAGACAGGCAGGUCUGUGCACGCCCUACGGAGGUCCUGAGUUGAGCGGAAGACACCGAAUCACACCGCUGCAGACAGGCAGCCAUCUGAUUCCACACUACAAAGACACAGAGGACACCAGACCACCAGACCAAGGUCUCAGGUGGAGCUUGAAAAUUGAAGUUCUACCAAGUUCCCAGAUACUGGUUGGUUUUGCUGGAUGCAGAGACCACAACUGGAGAACCUUUGGUCUUCGAGGAUGCACUGAAGAAUCACUCACCUGAGAAGAGCUGUGAUAAGCCAAAG
ensembl:lncRNA